rnacentral:snoRNA from 1 species
AGCUGCUCUCUGAAAUGAUGAGAACUUUAUCGAACCGAUUUUUUUUAGGAAGAGCCGGAAGAGGUAUGACAUGUUGGGAAGAAAUAAAAAUAUCUUCGACCCCUUGUCGUCGGUGCUUAUAAAGGUUCUGCUGAGAGGAGUUUUGCA